ACCUGGCUGGCUUAGUUGGUAAAGCAUGCAACUCUUGAUCUCAGGGUUGUGAGUUCAAACCCCAUGUUGGGUG
rnacentral:tRNA from 1 species